rnacentral:lncRNA from 1 species
AUGCAUUCCACCAUAUACUCAACAAACAAUAUUGAACACCUACUAUGUUCUGGGUGUGUGGCAGGCUCUAGGGAUAUAAUAAUGAAGCCACAGUCCCUGUUGUCGCAGGCACUCAAGCUCAGAGAGAGAAAAAGGAAGAGAAUGAGAAACAGUGUUUGCCAAAUAGUCCUCCAAAAAUGUGUCACAGUACUCUGUGAAGGGCUUGAGAAUGAAUGUUUUCCACAUCCUCAUUGGCUCUGUCAUCAAAGGUGUCCCAUUUCUGGUCUGGAAACUCUGAGAACAAGGAGCAGCAUAUACAUCUCUGUACUUUUUCAAGGCAAGGAUCGUAUCUCAGACAAGUUCCCAAGCCUGAUGCCCAGUGCAGUAAGUGAUUCCUAUUUAAAUGAGAAACACAUUGUCACUUUAUAGAAGUAACCAAUGAUAAAUAUUAAAUGAGCACCUUCUGGACCAAAGGGCCUGUUUUCUCUUAAUCAACUUUUAAGUUAAUGUAAAACCAGCUGUUAUUUUUUGUGUGUUUCUGUAUUCAGCUUGCAUUAGUGUUAUUCUGUGACAGAUGCUUUGAGAAAUGAAAGAGAACGAGUGGUCCUUGCCUAUAAAAAUCUUCUACUCUGUCUUAAAAGAAAGUAGAUGAAAUGCAUUCUCCUUUCUAAUCUUUGGAAAUGGCACCUAGCUGUGUUCUUAGAUAAAUAAUGUAUUUUUUCAAAAAAUGAAUAAAUGAAUAAAAGUAAGAAUCA